ACGUAUGGGGCAAGCGUUAUCCGGAUUCACUGGGUGUAAAGGGUGCGCAGGCUGAUCGGUAAGUCAAUGGUGAAAUACUACUGCUUAACAGUAGCCGUGCCAAUGAUACUGCCGGACUAGAGUGUAAGAGGUGUAACUGGAAUGUGAUGUGUAGCGGUGAAAUGCUUAGAUAUGUCACAGAACGCCAAUCGUGAAGACAGGUUACAAACUUACAACUGACGCUCAUGCACGAAAGCGUGGGGAUCAAACAG
rnacentral:rRNA from 1 species